GAACAUGGCGCCCCGGCCUUCGGGCGGUUUUUUUUGGGCGCGGCUUUGCCCGGGGCCUAUUUUUGGCACACGAAGGCCCCUCACAAAGUCUCGCGGCAUUCCGAGUCCGGCGGAUGAAGUUGGCCACCAUCACCCCCCAAGGCUAUAGCCCACCCGUUUUUGUGGCCUUUUUCCGCUGGACGAACAUGGCGCCCCGGCCUUCGGGGGGUUAAUUUUGGGCACGGGAUUGACCGCGGCCUAUUUUUGGCACACGGAGGGCCCUCGCAAAGUCUCGCGGCAUUCCGAGUCCGGCGGACGAAGUUGGCCAGCCCCACCCCCCAAGGCUA
rnacentral:lncRNA from 1 species